GACGAACGCUGGCGGCGUGCUUAACACAUGCAAGUCGAACGGAAAGGCCCUGCUUUUGUGGGGUGCUCGAGUGGCGAACGGGUGAGUAACACGUGAGUAACCUGCCCUUGACUUUGGGAUAACUUCAGGAAACUGGGGCUAAUACCGGAUAGGAGCUCCUGCUGCAUGGUGGGGGUUGGAAAGUUUCGGCGGUUGGGGAUGGACUCGCGGCUUAUCAGCUUGUUGGUGGGAUAGUGGCUUGCCAAGGCUUUGACGGGUAGCCGGCCUGAGAGGGUGACCGGCCACAUUGGGACUGAGAUACGGCCCAGACUCCUACGGGAGGCAGCAGUGGGGAAUAUUGCACAAUGGGCGGAAGCCUGAUGCAGCAACGCCGCGUGCGGGAUGACGGCCUUCGGGUUGUAAACCGCUUUCGCCUGUGACGAAGCGUGAGUGACGGUAAUGGGUAAAGAAGCACCGGCUAACUACGUG
rnacentral:rRNA from 1 species